GAUGAAGAACGCAGCGAAAUGCGAUAAGUAAUGUGAAUUGCAGAAUUCAGUGAAUCAUCGAAUCUUUGAACGCACAUUGCGCCUCUCGGUAUUCCGAGGGGCACGCCUGUUCGAGCGUCAUUUCAACCCUCAAGCUUUGCUUGGUGUUGGGCGUUUGUCCCGCCUCCGCGCGCGGACUCGCCUCAAAGUCAUUGGCGGCUGUUCCCCUUCGGCUCGUAAGCGCAGCACAGUCGGCGCCCGGAGCUCUGGUGGAUGGCGUCCAGCAAGCCAUUUUUCAAGUCUUGACCUCGGAUCAGGUGGGGAUACCCGCUGAACUUAAGCAUAUCAAUAAGCGGAGGA
rnacentral:misc_RNA from 1 species